rnacentral:misc_RNA from 1 species
UCUAUAAUUUUCAAUAAUUUUUUUAAUGUAAAAAAAAUUGUAUUGGCAACACUUAUAAAUUGAUAAGCAGACGAGAAAUGGCGGUGCUCAAUAUGUAUUUUGAUUCAAAUUCGAUGUAGUAUUCGUUAGAAAGACUAUGAGAGAUACUCAUUUUAUGUUUGAAUGUAAUAUCUAUCUUUAUAACCGAAAAUGGAAGAUAGUGGUAUAGAUAGCGAUUCUAAAUCAAACAGUUAUGGUUGUGUAGGUGCUACCUCUGGCUGGAGUGGACAUGACACAUCGAUGGCUGCGAGGAAGGAAAACACGCCACAUGAAUCCAAUUUACAAGAGGCAGAAAAUCAGAAAGAUGAAAUUAAUGAAACCAUUCCUACAUCAUCAUCACAGUUGAUGACAACUGUUCAGCUACAAAAACGUCUUGAAAAGCAAAUACAGCAAGCAAGAAAAAUAAGAAAAGAAGUAGGAAAUGACAGUGAAGUUCACCCAAAAAAAUCACUUAUUUCACGAAACAGGUUGACAGUGCCUAGUAAAUCUCAAGUUCCUGUGGUGACUAAAUCUGAUGAGCAUCCAUUAGUAACAUGGGAAAGUGAAAGCAGUGAUGAUGACUAUGAAUUCCAUUCCAUGAGUAAAUCAACCACAAGAGAAAUAACUCAACAAUUAAUCAGAGAUGGAUAUAAUUUGGAUCUGACUCCUGAUGAUGAAGACCUUGACUUAAUACCACCAAAGCCAUUGAAUCAACGAUGUGCUUGUUUCUGUAUCAACUAGUUAUCAAGUUUGAUUUUGAAAUUUGAAGAAAAUAUUUAGGCCAUUCUGUGUCAAGGAUUGCAUGUAUGCUAUGAAAGUGCCAGACAUGAGAGCCCAACUUACAAGAAUUCUGGAUCCAUUAACAGAAUGAUUCCUAACAUGCUGGCUCGGACAUGAACCAAAAUCAAGUACAGACUGGAUGUUGUAUUUGCUACUCCAGGAGCACAUGUGGAAGUGUAUUGAAUUAAUAUAGAAUUUUAAGUUUUUGGAGACAAAAUAUGUCAGAUGUUUUCUUAUGAUUUCAUGUAGUUUUCCAGUGAAACUGUAUAAAAGAAAGUGAUUUUUUGCUCCAUUCAUGACAAGAGUUUACAAGAAAAGAAGGACCACUGCCUCUUGUACAGAUUUUAAAAGUAACUGGAAUUUUUUGCAUUUGUGAAAGUGCCAAUUUUCAGAUUUAUGGUAGUAUUCUGUUUUUUAAUUUUAUUCAUUUAUGUUUCUGUAAAAAAUGAGUUAUUUUUGUUUUGUUGAUUUUAAAUUAGUUGUAAUACAGUCAAUUCCGCUUAAUUGGGACAUAUCAGGGAUUGACUAAUUUGUCCUGAUAAAGCAACUGUCUCAAUAAAGCAAAUUUUAAGGGAACAGAUGAAAUCUUAAAUGAAAAAUGGACUAUAAAGACAAAAACUAUUUAUUGAAAAAUAUAAUUAAUAUUCAGUCUUAUGUACUGUACAAACAUGUGUAGCAUAUGUGUAAUUAGAUUUAAGUUCAAAAUUAACAUAUUAAAAUAUAAUCAUUAAAUUAAAAAAAGAACAGUUAUUUUUGCCAAAAUUUAUUGAAUGUUUCUUGAAUGCUUUCUCUUUAUACCUUGCAAGUAGAUAAAAUUGGCAGGCACAAGCAGGGCUGUGGAGUUAGUAAAAUACACUGGACUCCGAUUCUGACUCCUGAUAAUUUUAGUAGGCCAACUCCAACUCCCAACUCCAGCAAAAUUACCCUACAGCAUAAAUUACCAGGUCAUUUUAUGGGGGGCAGAGGUGUUCAUAGAAGUUACUCUACUCUGAACUCUGAAAGGAGUCCAGAGCAUUUACCCAAAUACUUUUAUAGUUAGUAUUUUUAAUAUUUAACUUACAUUAAUAUUUAUUUGUAUAAAAAAAAUUAAUUUUUAACAAAUAUUUAAUAAGAGGUAAAAGGGGAGCAAUAAAAUUCUGCAUCUACAUAUCUUUAUUCUACAGCUUUUGCACUUUAAUUUCACCUUUCCAGAAAAGUUAGUCCAACUAAAAAGUGUGUGAUCUAGCUACUUCAGCAGCCCCUUGUUCAGAAAAGAAAAAUAUAUACUCUGAUAAAUUAGUCUGGCUCAUUCAGAAAAAUAGAGUACUUAUUUAGAG